AGACAGAGAAGAUCAGUCCAUCCUGUGCACAGGGGAAUCUGGUGCAGGAAAGACGGAGAACACAAAAAAAGUGAUUCAGUAUCUGGCACAUGUGGCGUCCUCACACAAGUCUGGCACUCUGGGUCGUCCCAAAGACAGCGCCCUACAGAUGGAUGGUACGCGCUCUCUGGGUCGUGGCAGUAGCGCUGUGAACAGGGUGAGUGGGGGCUUUUCUCUUCAUGACUGACACGUCCGGCUAAUAGGAAGGAGUUCAGACUACAGCCGUUCUAAUUCAU